rnacentral:tRNA from 1 species
GCGCCUGUAGCUCAGGUGGAUAGAGCAACAGUUUCCUAAACUGUGGGCCGCAGGUUCGAGUCCUGCCAGGCGCACCA